rnacentral:tRNA from 1 species
GGGUAUAUAGCUCAGCUGGUUAGAGCAUUCGGUUCACAUCCGAAAGGUCUCCCGUUCAAAUCGGGAUAUGCCCA